rnacentral:lncRNA from 1 species
ACCAUUUUAUUUAAGAAUCAACCCUCAAAUUAAUAAAAAAGGAUUGAAAUUGUGAAGAACUAGGGCUUGAUUUUUGAAAACGAAUUUUGGUGAUUUGAAAGACAAUUUGAACUCCGGUUUUGAUAAACUUUAUAUGUACAGACUCGUGGAGAGAGGAGGAAUCCGUUGAUGUAAAUUUUGUAAUUUUUCGAGAAGUGGGACCGGGGCUCGAGUUUUACCAACUUCGUGAAUUUUAGUACUUUUCGAGUAUUUUUGAUUGGGUUAUGUUUCCUUAGCCCAUAUUUAUAUAUUUGUUGUGGUUUUGACUAGAUUCGAUGUGCGUACAAGAAGAUUCAAAAAGGAAAAGGCAUUGCGGACAAGUCUACGACUAGCUAGAGGUGAGUAGUUUUUAUAGAGGAGCUUGAGGGUUUGAAACCCCGGUUUAUCAC